rnacentral:lncRNA from 1 species
AAUAGUGUUACCAUCGAUUGCAUCACAACAACAGCACCGAGUAGGGCAGUGAUUAAUGCCCUUGACCAACACUAAAAAUAGGAGUUGAGAUUACAGAUUUGCAGUCUUACGAAAUGGCCACCGACAACUCAGUGAAAGCACAAAUGGAAGCAUUGGAAAUUAGAAUUGAGAACCGGUUACAAGAAGUACUUAAUGAUUUCAAAAAGGACUUACUGGGGAGCUUUAGUAAAUUUCAACAAGGUGGGAGCUCAAGUUCUACAUUGCACAGAU